rnacentral:rRNA from 1 species
GACAGGUGGUGCAUGGUUGUCGUCAGCUCGUGUCGUGAGAUGUUGGGUUAAGUCCCGCAACGAGCGCAACCCUUGCCUUUAGUUGCCAGCAUUAAGUUGGGCACUCUAGAGGGACUGCCGAGGAUAACUCGGAGGAAGGUGGGGAUGACGUCAAAUCAUCAUGCCCCUUAUGCUUAGGGCUACACACGUGCUACAAUGGGUGGUACAGAGGGUUGCCAAGCCGUGAGGCGGAGCUAAUCCCUUAAAGCCAUUCUCAGUUCGGAUUGUAGGCUGAAACUCGCCUACAUGAAGCUGGAGUUACUAGUAAUCGCAGAUCAGAAUGCUGCGGUGAAUGCGUUCCCGGG